UGGACCAAUGAUGACCACCGGUGGGGUCUGAGUCAUGCACGGUGAAUACUCUGUUUGGAACUCUGAGGUCCAA